rnacentral:lncRNA from 1 species
UUGAUCGCCCUGCGUUGCCGCAGGGUCUUCCCGUUUGAGUACUUUCCAAGUUAGACCCAGUGCUGUGGAAGGGCGCGGACUUGUGCGGUGUUACCCCCUCGACGGGGGCUAUCUCCCCUGGACUAGCCCAGGGAGGGAGAGGCGGAGGAGGGUAGUAGUCUAAGGAGGCUGUUUGGCGUCUUGUGGUGUGAGCUCUUUGCGCUCUUUUUUGCGUGAGGAUUUUUGAGCUUGGUGACCUCCCCAGCCCGGGAGCCCGACGAGUCCCGGUCGCCCAGGUCCUGGUAGCGAGCUCUCUGAGAUGCUCGG